AGUGAACGCUGGCGGUAGGCCUAACACAUGCAAGUCGAACGGCAGCACAGUAAGAGCUUGCUCUUACGGGUGGCGAGUGGCGGACGGGUGAGGAAUACAUCGGAAUCUACUUUUUCGUGGGGGAUAACGUAGGGAAACUUACGCUAAUACCGCAUACGACCUACGGGUGAAAGCAGGGGAUCUUCGGACCUUGCGCGAUUGAAUGAGCCGAUGUCGGAUUAGCUAGUUGGCGGGGUAAAGGCCCACCAAGGCGACGAUCCGUAGCUGGUCUGAGAGGAUGAUCAGCCACACUGGAAGUGAGACACGGUCCAGACUCCUACGGGAGGCAGCGGUGGGGAAUAUUGGACAAUGGGCGCAAGCCUGAUCCAGCCAUACCGCGUGGGUGAAGAAGGCCUUCGGGUUGUAAAGCCCUUUUGUUGGGAAAGAAAAGCAGCAGGUUAAUACCCCGCUGUUCUGACGGUACCCAAAGAAUAAGCACCGGCUAACUUCGUG
rnacentral:rRNA from 1 species